AAUGGGUCAGCGACUUAUAUUCUGUAGCAAGGUUAACCGUAUAGGGGAGCCGUAGGGAAACCGAGUCUUAACUGGGCGAAUAAGUUGCAGGGUAUAGACCCGAAACCCGGUGAUCUAGCCAUGGGCAGGUUGAAGGUUGGGUAACACUAACUGGAGGACCGAACCGACUAAUGUUGAAAAAUUAGCGGAUGACUUGUGGCUGGGGGUGAAAGGCCAAUCAAACCGGGAGAUAGCUGGUUCUCCCCGAAAGCUAUUUAGGUAGCGCCUCGUGAACUCAUCUUCGGGGGUAGAGCACUGUUUCGACUAGGGGGUCAUCCCGACUUACCAACUCGAUGCAAACUACGAAUACCGAAGAAUGUUAUCACGGGAGACACACGGCGGGUGCUAACGUUCGUCGUGAAGAGGGAAACAACCCAGACCGCCAGCUAAGGUCCCAAAGUCAUAGUUAAGUGGGAAACGAAGUGGGAAGGCUCAGACAGCCAGGAUGUUGGCUUAGAAGCAGCCAUCAUUUAAAGAAAGCGUAAUAGCUCACUGGUCGAGUCGGCCUGCGCGGAAGAUGUAACGGGGCUAAACUAUGCACCGAAGCUGCGGCAGCGAUAUGUAAAUAUUGUUGGGUAGGGGAGCGUUCUGUAAGCCUGUGAAGGUGUGCUGUGAGGCAUGCUGGAGGUAUCAGAAGUGCGAAUGCUGACAUAAGUAACGAUAAUGCGGGUGAAAAACCCGCACGCCGGAAGACCAAGGGUUCCUGUCCAACGUUAAUCGGGGCAGGGUGAGUCGACCCCUAAGGCGAGGCAGAAAUGCGUAGUCGAUGGGAAACGGGUUAAUAUUCCCGUACUGGUGAUAAUUGCGAUGGGGGGACGGAGAAGGCUAGGCUAUCCGGGCGACGGUUGUCCCGGUUUAAGGAUGUAGGCAGGUGAA
rnacentral:rRNA from 1 species